GUGGGUAGGGUUUGGGGGAGAGCG
rnacentral:miRNA from 1 species